rnacentral:rRNA from 1 species
UACGUAGGGUGCAAGCGUUAAUCGGAAUUACUGGGCGUAAAGGGUGCGUAGGCGGUUGUUUAAGUCUGUCGUGAAAUCCCCGGGCUCAACCUGGGAAUUGCAUUUGAGACUGCAUAGCUAGGGUGCGGAAGAGGGAAGCGGAAUUUCCGGUGUAGCGGUGAAAUGCGUAGAUAUCGGAAGGAACACCAGUGGCGAAAGCGGCUUCCUGGUCCAGCACCGACGUUCAGGCACGAAAGCGUGGGGAGCAAACAGG